AUUUCCUAAAAAAUUUUUUAGUUUUUUCCACCCAAAGGUUUUUUUUUUUUUUAAUAUUGGCACCUGAGCUAACAACUGUUCCCAAUCUUCUGUUUUUCUUCUGCCUUUUCUCCCCAAAUCCCCCCAGUACAUAGUUGUACAUUCUAGUUUGGGUUCUUUUAGUUGUGGCAUAUGGGAUGCCACCUCAUUAUGGUUUAAUGAGGAGUGCCAUGUAUGCAUCCUGGAUCUGAAUCAGUGAAACCCUGCACUGCCGAGUGGAGCGUGUGAACUUAACCACUUGGCCGUGGGGCCAGCAUCCCCUGAAAUGAAUUAUAGACAUUGAACCACAGAUCCAGGAAGCUCAGAGAAUACCAACCAGGAAAAUACCAAAAUGCACACACCUAGGAAAGAAUAUCAUAUUCAAAAUGCAGAAAAUCAAAGACAAAAGGAAAGCCUAAAUGAAGCCAGAGAGAAAAAUAUCUUACCCAGAGAAGAGUAAGGAUAAGAGGUAUAUCAGACUUCUCUGAAACCAUGCAAGCAAGAAGAGAAGGGAGUAUAAGAAAAACACCCCACCCACCACGAAUUCUGUAUCCGGCAAAUUAUCCUUCAUAAGCAAGAGAAAAAGACAACAUUCCUAGACAAAUAAGAAUUGAAGGAAUUUGUCACCAGUAGGCCUGCCUUGCAAGAAAUGUUAAAAGAAAUUCCUCAGAACAAAGGAAAAUGAUAUGUCAGAAACUGGGAUCUACACAAAGAAAGGAAGAGCAUUUUGAAGCAAUGAAUUCAAAUACAAUAAUUUAUUUGUCUUUUUCUUGAUUGAUCCAACUGAUAACAGUUCAAAACCAUAGUAGCAAUAAUGGAUUUGGAUAAGCAGCUUAUGGAUAAGUGAAAUGAAUGACAGUAAUGCUCUAACGGAUGGGUGGAAUGAAUUGGGAAUACUGUGUUAUUAGGCACUUGUGCUAGCCAUGAAACAGUACACUGUUCUUUGAAAGAGCACUUGGAUGAUUUUUAAAUGUACAUUGCAAACUCCAGGGCAACCACUGAAAAAGAUGAAAGAAAAAAUAAAAGUACAGUUGAUAUGCCAAGAGAGGAGAAAAGAAUGGA
rnacentral:lncRNA from 1 species